rnacentral:tRNA from 1 species
UGGCCCAGUGGCUAAAGUGCUUGGCUGCUAACCAAAAGGUCAGUGGUUCGAACCCACU